GUAACCUACGGGACGCAGCAGUGGGGGAUAUUGCACAAUGGGCGCAAGCCUGAUGCAGCGACGCCGCGUGAGCGAAGAAGUAUUUCGGCAUGUAAAGCUCUAUCAGCAGGGAAGAAAAUGACGGUACCUGACUAAGAAGCUCCGGCUAAAUACGUGCCAGCAGCCGCGGUAAUACGUAUGGAGCAAGCGUUAUCCGGAAUUACUGGGUGUAAAGGGAGCGUAGGCGGCAAGGCAAGUCUGAUGUUAAAACCCAGGGCCCAACCCUGGGACUGCAUUGGACACUGUAUUGCUUGAGUACCAGAGAG
rnacentral:rRNA from 1 species